rnacentral:rRNA from 1 species
GGAAGUAAAAGUCGUAACAAGGUUUCCGUAGGUGAACCUGCGGAAGGAUCAUUAUCGAGUUUUGACUGGGUUGUAGCUGGCCUUCCGAGGCAUGUGCACGCCCUGCUCAUCCACUCUACACCUGUGCACUUACUGUGGGUUCCAGACGUUGUGAAGCGGGCUCUUUACGGAGCUUGUAAAGCGGCGUGCCUGUGCCUGCGUUUAUCACAAACUCUAUAAAGUAUUAGAAUGUGUAUUGCGAUGUAACGCAUCUUUAUACAACUUUCAGCAACGGAUCUCUUGGUUCUCGCAUCGAUGAAGAACGCAGCGAAAUGCGAUAAGUAAUGUGAAUUGCAGAAUUCAGUGAAUCAUCGAAUCUUUGAACGCACCUUGCGCUCCUUGGUAUUCCGAGGAGUAUGCCUGUUUGAGUGUCAUGAAAUCUUCAACUUACAGACCUUUGCGGGUUUGUAGGCUUGGACUUGGAGGCUUGUCGGCCGUGUUUUGGUCGGCUCCUCUUAAAUGUAUUAGCUUGAUUCCUUGCGGAUCGGCUCUCGGUGUGAUAAUGUCUACGCCGCGACCGUGAAGCGUUUUGGCGAGCUUCUAACCGUCUCGUUUGUGAGACAGCUUUAUGACCUCUGACCUCAAAUCAGGUAGGACUACCCGCUGAACUUAAGCAUAUCA